UUGAGCGAUUUACUUCGGUAAAGAGCGGCGGACGGGUGAGUAACGCGUGGGUAACCUACCCUGUACACACGGAUAACAUACCGAAAGGUAUGCUAAUACGGGAUAAUAUAUUUGAGAGGCAUCUCUUAAAUAUCAAAGGUGAGCUAGUACAGGAUGGACCCGCGUCUGAUUAGCUAGUUGGUAAGGUAACGGCUUACCAAGGCGACGAUCAGUAGCCGACCUGAGAGGGUGAUCGGCCACAU
rnacentral:rRNA from 1 species